AUGGUGGCGCCCAUGGUGAUCGCGUCGGCGGGGCUCCGGAUGCUGGCGGGCGUUGCGAUGGCGAACCGGGGAGACGGGCUGCCGGCGGCGUCCAGGUGGGACGCGCGGCCCCGUUGCUCCACGUGCAGCGGCACCGGCCGGGAGGAGUGCCUCUGCAGCCGUUGGUCCGACGGCGACGUCGGCUGCGGGACGUGCUCUGGGUCUGGCCGCAAGCGGUGCCGCAGCUGCGGAGGCUCUGGCACCGGUCGGCCGCUCCCGGCGCGACUCAUCGUCCAGGAGCAGAAGCUGCCAACCCCGCCCGGGCGACGCGGAGACUACAACUGA
rnacentral:rRNA from 1 species